rnacentral:ncRNA from 1 species
UUGAGGUUCGCGCAACUGCGAUUAAAAGGGAAUGGAGGUGCAAAUCCCCAACUGUCCCGCAGCUGUAAGUUCCUUUAUUACCCACGGGCAUUUCAGUCCACUGCUCAGGCCACAAACAGGCCGGGCGGGAAGGCGCCCGGGGUGGAACGAAGUCAGAAGACCUGCCACAACA